rnacentral:rRNA from 1 species
GAUGAACGCUAGCUACAGGCUUAACACAUGCAAGUCGAGGGGAAACGAUAUUGGAAGCUUGCUUCCGAUAGGCGUCGACCGGCGCACGGGUGAGUAACGCGUAUCCAACCUGCCCAUCACUUGGAAAUAACCUUGCGAAAGUAAGACUAAUACCCAAUGAUAUCUCUAGAAGACAUCUGAAGGAGAUUAAAGAUUUAUCGGUGAUGGAUGGGGAUGCGUCUGAUUAGCUUGUUGGCGGGGUAACGGCCCACCAAGGCUAACGAUCAGUAGGGGUUCUGAGAGGAAGGUCCCCCCACAUUGGAACUGAGACACGGUCCAAACUCCUACGGGAGGCAGCAGUGAGGAAUAUUGGUCAAUGGACGGGAGUCUGAACCAGCCAAGUAGCGUGCAGGACGACGGCCCUAAUGGGUUGUAAACUGCUUUUAUAGGGGGAUAAAGUGUGCCACGUGUGGCAUAUUGCAGGUACCCCUAUGAAUAAGGACCGGCUAAUUCCGUGCCAGCAGCCG